CGGCACCUUGAGGGUUGGAAGCUGCGAUGCCACGGGGGACGGAGCGGGAAUUUCCAAGACCUAGAAGAAAACCUUAGAUCCUGGCAACUCCCCCCGGGGUGGUGGUGGUCUUUGGAAACCCCAUCCCAUAUCCUAUAUAGCAUCAGGAGCCCGAGCCUUUGCCCGUCUCCAAGCCAAGCCAGGGACUCGCAGCUGAAGCGGAAUUGAAGUGGCUUGCUCCUUUGACCUCCUCUCCACCGUGAGGACUUUAGCCGCCUUUCUGAAUGCCAUUUGAAGAACCAUAGGCCCUCCAGCCUCCACCAGUCCCAUGGUCUUGUAUCGGACCUGGUUCACAGAUUGAUAUUGUCUGUCAUUUGAGUACUUUUCAGCUCUUCGCAUAUCCUUUCUUCUUAAUAGCAUCGGUUCUUCAAGAUCCAGCUUAAAUAUAAGCUCCAUCAGGAAACUAUCCUCCAUUUCCCCCCUCAUUUCCAGCAGAGCCUGUCUUUUCCCUCCCUGCCCACCUGUUGGUUCCACUGGCCUCUGCUGUAGGAGCUCCUGUUUUCCUCUCUCCUCUC